AUUGAACGCUGGCGGCAUGCCUUACACAUGCAAGUCGAACGGUAACGCGGGGCAACCUGGCGACGAGUGGCGAACGGGUGAGUAAUGCAUCGGAACGUGCCCAGUAGUGGGGGAGUAGCCCGGCCGAAAGCCGGAUUAAUACCGCAUACGACCUACGGGUGAAAGCGGGGGACGUCGCAAGAGCCUCGCGCUAUUGGAGCGGCCGAUGUCAGAUUAGGUAGUUGGUGGGGUAAAAGCCUACCAAGCCGACGAUCUGUAGCUGGUCUGAGAGGACGACCAGCCACACUGGGACUGAGACACGGCCCAGACUCCUACGGGAGGCAGCAGUGGGGGAAUUUUGGACAAUGGGGGGCAACCCUGAUCCAGCCAUUCCGCGUGAGUGAAGAAGGCCUUCGGGUUGGUUAAAGGACUCUUUCUAGCAGGAACGAAACGGUGGGCCACUAAUACUGGCUACUAAUGACGGUACCU
rnacentral:rRNA from 1 species